UGCCCUAUAUGAUUCAAACAGUCCAAAAUUGAAAUCAAUUUCAAACACAACAAAGGAGGAGCAAUGAAGAAGAAGAAAUUACUCUGGCCUUUACCUUGCUCGUUGGGAACAAAGAAGAAGAAGAAAUCAGUUGGCCGAUUUACCUUGCUCAAUGGGUUCUUCUUCUUUUCUGUCGUUGUUGUAUUGUUCAAUCGAAGGGACCACUAUAGUUUGAAGGUUAACUGCCUAAAUUUGAGACUAUUUUUAUUCACCAAUCUCCUUUUUAUUCAGGAUGGAGGACAUAUACAACAUCGGUGAUAGAUGUGGUGCAAAGGUCUCGACACGUUGUAACGUGUCAAGUGUGGACAAAGUAUCUGAUGCAUUAGAUGAUGUUCAUAAGGAAAUGUUCUUGAAUUCAUGCUUCGGUAAAUUAUACAACGUUAGGAAUAUGAAAAUAUCUGCCCAACUAAUUCACAACUUGUUAUUACGACAGGUUGUCUCUGUGAAUAAGGAUGAACUAUGGUUUUGUUUAGAAAUGAAAAAAGUUGCCCGUUUUUCUUUGUACGAAUUUACGCUAGUUACAGGAUUAAACCCUGCUACUGAGGAGGAGUAUCAGAGCCAAAUAAAUGAAAAUGGUAGAUUGAAAACUAAAUAUUUCCCAACAUCAAGUAAGAUUACGCCUAAAGAAUUAAACGAGGCUUUUGAAAAAGAGAUAUAAGAUAUGGAUGAAAAAAUAUAAAUUGGGUUUAGUUCUUAUAAAUGAGACAAUGUUGAGGUCCAAAGAAAAAAAUACAUCUAUAGAUCUUCGCACCUUGGAUAAAGUUGAUGAUUUGGAGCUGUUUAAUGGAUGUCCACAGGGAACAAAAAGUUUUAAAUUUACAAUACAUGCAUUCUUAAGAGUGUCAAAGGAUCUAAAGCCUAAAUAUUCUUUGUGAGGGUUUCCACUAGCGAUACAGGUAAAUGGCCAAAACUUGUAAUUUAGGCAUUAUUUUUAUUUGAUUUUAAAUAUUUUUAAACAACUUAGACAUCUUCUUUCAGGUGUGGGCGUUCGAGUCUAUUCCACAAAUAGCAAACAUGUAUCGUGCUAGGUUAACUGUCAACCAAUUGGAAGGAAAUGGCAGGAAUGUACACAUGUAUACUUUCCGUUAUGUACUCGCGGACAUUGGUUCGCAGUUGAGAUUGACUUUUGUAAAGCAACAAUGUUUGUGUAUGAUCCUGAUAAAGGUUGCAUUACGAGUGAUCAACUCAAGGAUGACUUGAAGUCUGCUAGUAUCAUUGUCCCGCUACUUUUGAAAGAAAUCAACAUCGAUUUGGACACAGAUAAUCUUGCGAUAGAAAGGAAUACCAAAACCACUAAACAAGCAGUUUCGGGCGAUUGCGAUAUCUACGUAGUAAAAUAUAUAGAAUUCUUGAGCAUCAACGGUCCAAUAGAACAAGUUAACGGCUUUCUAUAUGAAUAGAUGGAGAGAAAAGAUGGUUGCCGAUAUUUUUGCCCUUGAUUUUGAUCCUUAGGAACUUUCGAUGUAUUUGUACAUGUAUGAAUAUACUUUUAUAGUUUAUGUUCAA